AAAGCUCAAAUUUGAAAUCUGGUACCUUCGGUACCCGAAUUGUAAUUUGGAGGCAUAUCUUCGGGGCUGGCGCUGUCCUAAGUUCCUUGGAACAGGACGUCAUAGAGGGUGAGAAUCCCGUGCCUGGAUGGCUGACUAGCUCCAUGUGAAGUGUGUCCUACGAGUCGAGUUGUUUGGGAAUGCAGCUCAAAAUGGGUGGUAAAUUUCAUCUAAAGCUAAAUAUUGGCGAGAGACCGAUA
rnacentral:rRNA from 1 species